rnacentral:rRNA from 1 species
AUUGAACGCUGGCGGCAGGCCUAACACAUGCAAGUCGAGCGGCAGCGGAAAGUAGCUUGCUACUUUGCCGGCGAGCGGCGGACGGGUGAGUAAUGUCUGGGAAACUGCCUGAUGGAGGGGGAUAACUACUGGAAACGGUGGCUAAUACCGCAUAACGUCGCAAGACCAAAGUGGGGGACCUUCGGGCCUCACGCCAUCGGAUGUGCCCAGAUGGGAUUAGCUAGUAGGUGGGGUAAUGGCUCACCUAGGCGACGAUCCCUAGCUGGUCUGAGAGGAUGACCAGCCACACUGGAACUGAGACACGGUCCAGACUCCUACGGGAGGCAGCAGUGGGGAAUAUUGCACAAUGGGCGCAAGCCUGAUGCAGCCAUGCCGCGUGUGUGAAGAAGGCCUUCGGGUUGUAAAGCACUUUCAGCGAGGAGGAAAGGUCAGUAGCUAAUAUCUGCUGACUGUGACGUUACUCGCAGAAGAAGCACCGGCUAACUCCGUGCCAGCAGCCGCGGUAAUACGGAGGGUGCAAGCGUUAAUCGGAAUUACUGGGCGUAAAGCGCACGCAGGCGGUUGGAUAANUUAGAUGUGAAANCCCCGGGCUCAACCUGGGAAUUGCAUUUAAAACUGUCCAGCUAGAGUCUUGNAGAGGGGGGUA